GUGGGGAAUAUUGGACAAUGGGCGAAAGCCUGAUCCAGCCAUGCCGCGUGUGUGAAGAAGGUCUUCGGAUUGUAAAGCACUUUAAGUUGGGAGGAUGGGCAGUAAGUUAAUACCUUGCUGUUUUGACGUUACCGACAGAAUAAGCACCGGCUAACUUCGUGCCAGCAGCCGCGGUAAUACGAAGGGUGCAAGCGUUAAUCGGAAUUACUGGGCGUAAAGCGCGCGUAGGUGGUUUUGUAAGUUGGAGGUGAAAUCCCCGGGCUCAACCUGGGAACUGCCUCCAAAACUGCAUGACUAGAGUACGGUAGAGGGUAGUGGAAUUUCCUGUGUAGCGGUGAAAUGCGUAGAGAUAGGAAGGAACACCAGUGGCGAAGGCGACUACCUGGACUGAUACUGACACUGAGGUGCGAAAGCGUGGGGAGCAAACAGGAUUAGAUACCCCAGUAGUCC
rnacentral:rRNA from 1 species